GUGCAACAGAGGAAAAAACAAGGGAAUGUUAGUAAAAUCUACAGAAUAUAGAAUAGUUUAGAAUAAGAUAUGGAAUUUAUGAUGACACGUUCUUAAUAAAGUGAAUGGUGAAUGUAGUAUCCCCUUGCCAACAAAGGCAUUAUCCACAAAUGGUAACAUACCCUAUAACUGUAAUCACAUCCUGUAAUUUGAAUGAGUAGCUGGUCACUUAAUUAAUGGCAUUUGUGGAAUCAGGAAUAUGUUUCUAAAGACAUCACUAUUGACCUGUGUAAUGACACAUGACAACAGUGCCACACUCUGGGUAUAAAAUCCAAGAGGAAUUAGACGGUGCAUAGCGCAUAAGCCUGGGGGCACAUGUCUAAACACAGAUCUAAGAAAAUAGCAGAGGAAAUGGGAGGGCCUCUAGAGGGAGAACAUGGGGAAGACUGUAAUGAUUGAGCUCAGGGGAUUGUCUAAAUGGCUGCAACCCAUGCUCAGCUUCAGCGCCCUGACAGCAGCGCAAGUUAAUUUCCUAUUUUCUCCUCGGCCCUGCUUCCUCUUUAAUUCACGCUCAUUAGACUGGGCUCCCUUUGAGCUUGUCUUACUGUCCACACCGGUAUGAGCGAAUGCACCAGGGUCAGACAGACAAAAGACAAGGCAUGCAUGACAGCAGUGUUUGCACUUCCGUGUAAUAUGUUCAAUUAUCUUUGAACAAUGCAGCUCAUUUGUGCACCACUAAAGGAAGCAGUCAGCCUUCCCAGGUUUGUAUUGCAAAUAAGGAGCAGGUGUAAAAUAUAAUUAACAAUCAGCUUGGACCUUAGACAUGAGGCAUGGUGAACACGGAUUUUAUUGUACCAAAGAACUGAGUGGAAGAAGACUAAAUCUGCUGAAAGAAAGCUAACUAUAUAUGCCACCCCGGACCUCCCAGUGUUCUGAGUUCCUAGCCCGAUCGUCUCUUCUUAUGGAGCGAUUUCAUCAAUCCUGAUGUUCUACUGCUGUCUUGCCAGUCAUCCAUCUCCAUCAGUCAAAAGCCACAGCGAGAAGUGAGGAUGCUACACUACUGCUGUAGGUUCUGGACAUUCUGAAGCAAGAUGAAUUAGAGAAUCAGACAUUUGGACAGAUGGGGGAUGGAAGGAGAUAAUGAAGGAGGGAGGAAAUGAGAAAUUGAUGGAGGAUUAAAUUAUUUGACAGGCACUACAGUCAUUACACGGCCGUUGUACAUCAGCAUAAGCAGGACAUUGUAAACCUCAGGAGCAUCUACACACUUUUGUUGUCAGAAAAAUAUGACUCACUGCAGAACUACAGUAAGUUACAUAAAGCCCUGCUAUGUAAUUAACAAUAAUGACAGGAAUAAAUCAUCUUUGUGGUUUGAUGAUUAAUUUAUCAAAAAAUGUGUGGAAGACUGGGAAAUCCAUUGACUUUUCAAAUUUUGACAUUUUGUUGUUUUUUUUUGGCCUUAUAUAUAGUUUUGGAUUAGUUCUUUAAAAAUUAAGAAUUGUUACGACCAAAACAAAA